rnacentral:miRNA from 1 species
UAAGGCACCAAAAUUCUGUGA